AGCACCGCCUAUGUAUAUACACAAACAACAGUUCCUCUCUGUAUAGUCUCCCUCCCUCUCCUAAGUCUCUCUCAUCUCUUUCAAUUUCUACCGACUCUGUCUCUCACUCCAACAACAGUAUUGCUCCGCUUUCCCCCGAUAGUCGCCGCCGUCCGGUUUUACGAGCCACUGUUGAAUCAUCCCGCAGCAACGCCUUCGAUUUCAAUUGAGUCGACUAAGACAUGCUUGGCAAGUACACUCAAAAGUAGUCGUAGAGUUCAGGAUAACCCGAUAAGGCGAAGUUGCUCCAAGAGAAAGUCUAUCAGAGUAUAGUCAGUACGGAAGUUCGCAGUAUUGAGCUAGGAAUAAAGAUGAUUCACUUAAGACUAGACAAGGAUUGCAAGUGGUUAAGUUUCAAGCAAAUGGUCAGGUAGAGUAUGCAGGACGAUGUCAUUAAGACUAGAUGCAGUUGGAGUUCUGCAAUUCAAUUCAGUUGGAAAUUAGAUUUGUUUAUUUGGUUAUCAGCUACUCUUCUUAUCGAGGUUUAGCUGAUAAUGUAGUUUAAUUUGUAAUAAAGAUUUAAUAGUUUUAGUUUCUGAUUUCAAUACUGUAACCUGUAUGCGAUCCUGUUUUCAGGGGGUGAAAUUGAUUUUCAAUUUGAAUCA